AUAUGUGAACAUAUUACCUCGUAGGAUUGUGUCAACCAGUCUAAGUUUGUUUAUUGGAUAUCUCUCAUAUUCCGUCCCAGUUAAACUGCAGCAAUGCCUCGUCCAAAAAUAAAUGUUUAAUAACGCUGGCUACGUCCUCAGACACACCUUUUAUUUUUAUGAUAUAAGUGACCUUUUGAAAAAUUUAUGCACAGCAAUUAGAACGUGAAAUAUUUAUUCCAUAAUAUGAUUCAUUACUGUAAGGCACUCGGGGUUGCAGGAGCUGGUUUCUGUAAACAGCCUUAAGUAAUAUCGUAAUAGAGUGUGUAAUAUCGUAAUAGUUCUUAAGUGAUGUGUCUAGGCCUUAAGUAAUGCAACUAGUUUUUAAGCUAUGUGUUUCAACCUUAAAAGGCUUAUCACACGGUAUGUAUUUUACACGUGCACAGCUACUUUUUCGUAGCAUAUAUAAUCCAUUAUGGCUGUCAAAAUUUAAAUUUCGUGCUAUCUGUUAUUGUGUCUACACGACAUGUAACAGCUUGUGUGUGUCACUUCUCUAACACAGCUGACUGAUAUAAAUUCUUUGGUUGAAAAGUAAAAGUAAAAAUGAAUGAAAAUAAUAAAAAAAAUUGCUCUGUGCAGCUCCAUGAUGAUUGCAAUCGCUUUAAUAAUCAAAAAACGUAUAAAGGAAUAAGCAGGGAAGCGAGUUCUCUGUGGAGAGAAAAUUGGCUAUUGUGUAGAGAUGCUUCCCAAGGAUUUCCUUGCAUGGCCAUAAACGAAAUUCUGCCGGAGGAUCCCAAAGCGUUCCGAAAUUUCGGGCGAAUGACAAAGGAAACGUUCUGCAGCAGGUUGCUCCCCUAAUUGCAAAGCAGGACACAAAUAUACGGGAAGCUAUUUCUCCAACUGCCAGGUUGCUUGACACUCUCCGGUGUUUAGCGACUGGCGAAAGAUUCCACCAAUUAGCGUAUGGAUUUCGAAUAUCUCAGGCCGCGAUUUCACUGAUUAUCCCUAAGACACUACGAGCUAUCUAUUCAGUUUUAGAAAAUGUUUCUUGAAGGUACCAAACACCCCAACUGAUUGGCGAAAUAUAGCAAAGGAAAUAUGAAAUGGAAUUUUCCUCAGUGUUUGGGUGCCAUUGAUGGCAAACAUAUUGCUAUUGCCAUCAGGCAGAAAUAUGGCUCGUACUGUUAUAACUACAAAGGUUUCCACAGCAUCAAAUUGCUGGCUGUGGUAGACGCAAAUUACCAAUUUCUUUGCGUUAACGUUGGAACCAAUGGGCGAGCAAACUACGCCGCUGCGUUUAAUGAAUCAUCGCUUUGUGAAGGUAUCAAAAAAAAUGCAUUUAAUUUCCCAGACGACAAAGUGCUACUGCUACCUAUAAAAAAUUGCCGUUUGUGUUCGUGG